rnacentral:rRNA from 1 species
CAGUCGCCACGGUAAUACGUAGGUGGCAAGCGUUGUCCGGAAUUAUUGGGCGUAAAGGGCUCGCAGGCGGUUUCUUAAGUCUGAUGUGAAAGCCCCCGGCUCAACCGGGGAGGGUCAUUGGAGACUGGGAAACUUGAGUGCAGAAGAGGAGAGUGGAAUUCCACGUGUAGCGGUGAAAUGCGUAGAGAUGUGGAGGAACACCAGUGGCGAAGGCGACUCUCUGGUCUGUAACUGACGCUGAGGAGCGAAAGCGUGGGGAGCGAACAGGAUUAGAUACCCCAGUAGUCCCUGUCUCUUAUAC